AUUCUACUCCCUCCGUUGCACAAUACAUGCCUUCUAUUUGUCAAAAUAUAUAUGUAUUUAGACAUGUUUUAGUAUAUAGGUACAUCCAUUUUUGGACAAAUGGAAGUCAAGUAUUUUGGAACGGAGGGAGUACACA
rnacentral:pre_miRNA from 1 species